rnacentral:rRNA from 1 species
GCCAGUAGACAUAUCACUCUGCAUCUCACAACUGCCAACCAACUGAAGCUCAGCAGGUGUGAGCCUGGUCAGUACCUGGAGGGGAGACCUCCUGGGAAAAACUAAGGUUGCUGCUGGAA